UUUAAGUGCAGUAGAACAGUGUGGGUUUCUGUAUCUAACGUUUGACUGUCCAUCUUAUUUUAAAAAAUUAAAUAAAAUAAGUCACAAAUAAAGUAUCAUUCAUGUUUUAUCAUAUAAUAAUAAUAAAAUAUUGUUUAUAAAAAUAUUUCAAAUAAAACGGAUGAUAAAACGUUGCGUACAGAAACCCACAAUUACAUUUAAA
rfam:Oryza barthii chromosome 3, whole genome shotgun sequence.